AGCGAACGCUGGCGGCAGGCUUAACACAUGCAAGUCGAGCGGCCGUAGCAAUACGGCAGCGGCAGACGGGAGAGUAACACGUGGGAACGUGCCUAUCAGUUCGGAACAACCCAGGGAAACUUGGGCCAAUACCGGAUACGCCCUUACGGGGAAAGAUUUAUCGCUGAUAGAGCGGCCCGCGUCUGAUUAGCUAGUUGGUGGGGUAACGGCCCACCAAGGCGACGAUCAGUAGCUGGUCUGAGAGGAUGAUCAGCCUCACUGGGACUGAGACACGGCCCAGACUCCUACGGGAGGCAGCAGUGGGGAAUAUUGGACAAUGGGCGCAAGCCUGAUCCAGCCAUGCCGCGUGGGUGAUGAAGGCCCUAGGGUUGUAAAGCCCUUUCGGCGGGGAAGAUAAUGACGGUACCCGCAGAAGAAGCCCCGGCUAACUUCGUGCCAGCCGCCGCAGUAAUAC
rnacentral:rRNA from 1 species